CUCCUAAAUUUUUGAAUUUCUAAUUCACGGCAUGAGUAACUUCUAUAAGAGA
rnacentral:tRNA from 1 species